AUAUUUAGAGCUAACAAUUUUUAGGGAAAUUAAAUAUUCUGGGACUAGACAUCAUAUAUGUGUGUAAAUCAAUUCGUUAUACAUUUACUGAGCAUCUCCUGUGUGCCAUCCACUGUGCAAAGAACUAAAGAGAUCCAGAUAAAAAUGGCAGUUUCUGUCAUCAAUGUACUAACAUUCUAAGGGAUAAAACAAACUAAAAAAAGUAAUCAUACAAUGUAAUGAGAGAAAUAACAAAAGAUGUGUACUGGGAUAUCAUAUCUAUUGCAGUAUAAAGACACGACAUAUGCAGGCCUAAAUAGAUAACUUGUGUAUAGAAAAUACAUUAUUUUGAGCUCCUCUGCUCUAAACAGGCCAGCCCUGGUGGUCUAGUGGUUAAGAUCUGGCACUCUCAUUGCCACAGUUUGGGUUCAUUUCUGGUCAGGGAACCACACCACCUGUCUGUCGGUUGUCACACUGUGACAGCUAUGUGUGGCUGGGAUGCUGCAAGCUAUGCCACUGGUAUUUCAAAUACCAGCAGGGUCACCCAUAGUGGACAGGUUUCAGCAGAGCUUCCAGACUAAGGCUGGGAAGAAGGACCUGGUCACUCACUUCUGAAAACAUUGGCCAUGAAACCCUGUGAACAGCAGGGGAGCAUUGUCUGAUACAGCAUGGGAAGAUGCGAGGAUGGUGCCAAAAAGAGCGGGCAGGGUUUGGCUCUGCUGACCACAAGGUCACUGAGAGUGGAAAUCAACUCUCGGGUGCGAACAAACCCUAAACGGAUACAACACAAACAUUUACAAGAUGCAGCCCUGGGAAAGAUUGUGUUUCUCUGUCAUUUCUCUCCAGUCUCCAUUGGUCUGUGACAAUUUCUCAGUCUUUCCUUGUUUUCCUUGACUGUGGCAGCCCUGAGGAAUACUCCCAGCAUUCCUCUAGCCUUCUACUUCGGAGUUUUGUUUGAAGAACAUUCUUGUCAGUUGAGAUUAAGAUAACAUUUCUACGAGAACACAAAAGCUGAGAAAGAAUUCCAGUCACGCUGCCUGAGGAACCAGCUGUGCUCGUCCUUCUGUUUUCUCUUCCUUCUCCAGGCAGAGUGGAGGCUGUGUCUCCAGGGAAUGAAGUGAGUCAACAGGUACAGUUACUGGUGUUUUUCCCCAACAACCUGUUUGGCUCCAAACAAACAAAGAGAGUGAACAAAAUAUACGUGUGUGUCUACUUUUUCAACCUCUCCGUUAACCUCAUUACAGCUCCUUCUCUGCCUCGACUCCACAAAGCUUGUCGUCCUAGCAACAGACCAGCAUGUCAGUUUUCUCUCUGUUAUCUCAAUUGCAUAUUGUCUGCUCACCAGCUAUUAUCUCUUACUCUAGUUAAGUCUAGGUUAAUUAACUGUGUUCUCUUUUCCUAAAGAAAUAAAUCUCCAUCACUCUGUU